rnacentral:lncRNA from 1 species
UUUGAUCCUUGCCAAGUGAUGACACCAUGUUCAUGUCAUGCGUAGCCUAUGCAUUCCUUGUCCAAAAUGAAUGAAUUUGAGCUCUUUGGAAAGGUGAGAUCAAGAGGAAUAACUUUCAUGUUCAACACUUUUCCAUUUGGAGUUUGUAAUUUGAAUAAAUUUGAGGUGGAAGUUUGGAAAUUUUUGACAUAUCAAAAUUUUUCUAAGUGUCAAGCCAUAUGUCUUAAUGUUCCACCUUGCUUAACUUUUUAUAUGAGCUUU